rnacentral:sRNA from 1 species
UUUUGUAUUUUUAGUAGAGAUGGGGUUUCGCCAUGUGGGCCAGGCUGGUCUUGAACUCCUGACCUCAAGUGAUCCGCCUGCCUUGGCCUCCCAAAGUGUUGGGAUUAUAUGUGUGAGCCACCGUGCCAGCCCUAAAAAUCUCAUCCUUAUGUAACCUAAGCCCAGGACUUAGGACUUAGUGGUUAACAGGUUCCUGUGUUUAGUUGAUUUUACCGAAGAUGUUUGAGACUCUCAGAUCUGAUGGGCACUUGGCAUUGCUGUUGCCUUCUUUUUUUUUUUUUUUUUUUGAGACAGAGUCUUGCUCUGUUACCCAGGCUGGAGUGCAAUGGUGCAAUCUCAGCUCACUGCAACUUCAGCCUCCCUGGUUCAAGCAAUUCUCCUGCCUCAGUCUGCUGAGUAGCUGGGACUACAGGUGCGUGCCACUAUGCCCGGCUCAUUUUUUUAUUUUUAGUAGAGACGGAGUUUCACCAUGUUGGCCAGGAUGGUCUCAAUCUCCUGACCUUGUGAUCCACCUGCCUCGGCCUCCCAAAGUGCUGGGAUUACAGGGGUGAGCCGCCGGGACUGGCCUAUUGAAUUCUUAAAUAUGAAGAAGCCAGCCCUGUUGGCAGUUUAUCAGCUUUAAUCACCAUUACUGAAACUGGUGCUAUGAUCGAUCAUGCCUGGUCCUCCAGUCUUCCCUGGCCACUGUACUGCAGCUGCAUGAACAGCUGCGUUUGCUCAAUGGGAAGGAGACUCCCUGCUGGGGGAGGUAUGGGAGGGACUGGGGAGAGGCAUGAGGAAAUCCAAGUGCCUACAUUUUCUCUUUCAUCAUUAUCCAUAUCUUGAUUCUAGAACUUUAUUUUCUGGUGUCUCAGAAAGUUAAGAAACCAGUGUCUUCAAAAGUGAGAACCAACAUUCAGACCCAUGCAUAUUAUUGGAUUAUUAUUUUUGGCUAUGUAAGGGAGCCUCAUUGACCCAUUUUUUUGUUUUAAAUUCUUAUUUAAAUUUCUGCAAUAAUGACAUUUUUGUAACUGGCCCUUGCUGGACACUGGAUCGGUGUGAACAUUCACUUCCUCCUGUGUAGUUGGACUACCUUCUGGAGCAAUUCUUUCCCUUCCUAAGGCUUUGCUGGAUCCCCGCCGCCCUGAGAUCCCAACAGAACAAAGCAGAGAGGAGAACUUAAUCCCGUAUUCUCCAGAUGUACAGAUACAUGCAGAGCGAUUCAUCAACUAUAACCAGACAGUUUCUCGAAUGCGAGGUAUCUACACAGCUCCCUCGGGUCUGGAGUCCACUUGUUUGGUUGUGGCCUAUGGUUUGGACAUUUACCAGACUCGAGUCUACCCAUCCAAGCAGUUUGACGUUCUGAAGGAUGACUAUGACUACGUGUUAAUCAGUAGCGUCCUCUUUGGCCUGGUUUUUGCCACCAUGAUCACUAAGAGACUGGCACAGGUGAAGCUCCUGAAUCGGGCCUGGCGAUAAAGACCAAAGACUGUGCCUAAAAGUGGAGAGCCAGGGGAGUGUGGGUCAGAUAAGCAGCUACAGCUGCAGUUUGGUGGAUUGGUGGAGAGUGUGUGUGUGUGAGUCAGUGCUCAGCUAAGAGCUGUAGGGAAGAAGAUGGAUGACCUUCACGCAGAACUCCUUUUGGGAUACACAUGAUGCAGAAAGGAUCCUACAUGGAGAGAGACAGAACUCUCAGCUGACACUCUCAGAGAUUCCUGAUGGGCUUUCCCUUGAAGUCCAAAGGCCUCUGCAUUGUUUCCUUUCUUUGCCCAUCCGUGAAUGUUCUGUUUUGUUUUGUUUUUUUUUUAAUAAGAAUUCCGGCUGAUUUUUGUGAGGCCUGUUUAAAUUGACUUUACUUUGCCUUUUGUGUUUCCCAAUUUUAUCUAGAAAUCUUUCUGACUUUUUCCAUCUCUUGCUUCAAAGUAAGAGGGGAACUCUCCUUGCUGACUCCACCUUAUAGGUACAUUUGGUGUUUUGCACUGGGAAGAAAUAGGAUCCAUCCUUAGCUGAGGCUUGAGGACUGAUCCAGCCUCUCAUGGCUUCCCUCCAAAGUAACUUAGGGUUGAGGGAUCUAUGUGAUGUCAAAACUUACUUUAAACCUCUAGUUUCACGCUGUCAUUUAUUAGGCUGGGCCACCAAAUCUUUGUUUCAAUUUAUCAGAAGCCAAGUGCAUAGUAGCAUCUUGUUUGUUGCCCAUUGCCUGUACUUUUCACCUGAGAUGUGUGAGUUGGGGCCUUUUAAAAACUACUGAAUUGUCUGAGCCUUGAAGACAUUUCCAGGGAGAAGAGAUAAUCUCUCAUUUCACCCACAGGCUGGCCUAAUCAUAACCUAGUUAAAGAUGUCCUUGUUUAAGAACCCCAUUAUUUAUUUUUAGUUUUUAAUAUAAAUUAACAUGUGGGUCAUCGUAUUUCUCCUUAAAUGAGGAAAUUUUAAGUCUUAUUGAUCUAACCUUUGAAGCUUUAAAAAAGAGGAGAAAGAGGGUAGGGGUGGGAAACUGGCAUACUGUGUGUACAGCACUGCCGAUUGGCUAGGCCGCUGUGUCUCUGCUACAAAUUAAAGAAAUCCUAAAAGUUUUCCUUGGUCAUAGAGUUGGGGAAUGACAGAAUUUUUCUUUAUUGUGAAAUGUAUGUACAGAGUAGACCAUCUCUAGCCCUGUGGUGAAAGAGGUACACUCGAAUGUCUGAAUAAAACAAGUGACAAAUGACACUGUUUAAGUCCUCUUUUGUGUCUUAGAAGAUCACUUUGAGGCUAUUUUCACAUUAGAGGGGAUAAAAGCAGUGAAGACACGGAGUAAGUGUAUUUUAUUUUAGUAAGGAAAGGUCGGUUUAAUCAUAUAUGGGUUGGUUAGGUUAUCUAAAAAUUUGUCAUCUUUCUAUGGUCAUAUGCUGAUGGUAGAUUAUGGCAGAGAAGGAAGAGGAAAUGACAACCAUUUUAUUAAUUGUCAAUUUGAUAUUGAGUGACUGAAUGUCUAAGAAUCUCCAGAAAAGACAGGCAUCUAUCAUCUGACCCAAGGCAUAUUUUAACAUAACCUGGGAGAAGAGAGUAAGUACAAGUCAAAAAAAAUUCUGCCCUAAUUUUGAGAAAGCCUGGCUGGAAUUCUGACUGUCUUACAUACAUAUGUGCAAGGUUAGCCUGCAAAAUUCUAGUUUUUAUUUACCAGUGUGCCAGAAUCUGAAACAAGUUACUGGAAGUUAUUUGUCCUUUAGUAAAAUUCCCUGUAUUUCAGCUGUAAUCAAAGUUACCUCAAAGCAGGUGCUUUUUUUUUUUUUGGGACAGAAUCUCACUCUGUCGCCCAGGCUGGAGUGCAGUGGCACGAUCUUGGCUCACUGCAACCUCCACCUCACAAGCAGCUGGGACUAUAGGCGCGUGCCACCACGCUCAGCUAAUUUUUUGUAUUUUUAGUAGAGACGGGGUUUCAUUGUGUUGGCCAGGCUGGUCUCGAACUCCUGGCCUCAAGUGAUCUGCUGGCCUUGGCCUCCCAAAGUGCUGGGAUUACAGGUGUGAGCCACCGAGCCUGGCCAAGUGCUUAAAAUAGUUAAUGCUAAUGCCACAGUCCAAUUUAAAUCUUUUCUUAAUUCUCAACUUUCCUUAAUCUUAAAGCAGCAUUUGGUUCUGAGCAGCUACGCUCAGUCUCCACCAAUGGCUGCUGAGACUGUAUGUUUCCUCUCUCAAUUCUCUGAUCUAUUUGCUUUCUUGUCAUUCUUUGUUUUUUUUGUGUAUUCCUUGACUUACCUCUUCUCCUGUCUUCAUUAAUUAGGUUAAUUUUGGGGCCCCUACGGUGUUUCACUUAAAAAGAUUUGGCUGGGCAUGAUGGCUCAUGCCUAUAAUUCCAGCACUUUGGGAGGCCAUAGUGGAGGAUCUCUUGAGCCCAGGAGUUCCAGACCAGCCUGGGCAACAUAGCAAGACUCUAUCUAC